rnacentral:rRNA from 1 species
CUAAUGAUGGGUGCGCAGCCGGUGUAAGUAGUAGGGUGAGCGAUGUGUGGGGAAUUGUUGGAAGUAAGGAGCUCGUAGGCGACAUGUAACGUCGAUUGUGAAAGGCCGAUGCUUAACCGCGGGUCUGCAGUGUAUACGGGCGGGCUAGAGUGUGGUAGGGGAGAUCGGAAUUCCUUGUGUAGCGGUGAAAUGCGCAGAUAUCAGGAGGAACACCGGUGGCGAAGGCGGAUCUCUGGGCCAUUACUGACGCUGAGGAGCGAAAGCGUGGGGAGCGAACAGGAUUAGAUACCCCAGUAGUC